ACGGAAGGCAGCCGUGGGGAAUAUUGGGCAAUGGGCGCAAGCCUGACCCAGCAACGCCGCGUGAAGGAAGAAGGCUUCGGGUUGUAAACUUCUUUUGUCAGGGAAGAGUAGAAGACGGUACCUGGCGAAUAAGCCACGGCUAACUACGUGCCAGCAGCCGCGGUAAUACGUAGGUGGCAAGCGUUGUCCGGAUUUACUGGGUGUAAAGGGCGUGUAGCCGGGUCGGUAAGUCAGAUGUGAAAUCCACGGGCUCAACUCGUGAACUGCAUUUGAAGCUGCUGAUCUUGAGUAUCGGAGAGGCAAUCGGAAUUCCUAGUGUAGCGGUGAAAUGCGUAGAUAUUAGGAGGAACACCAGUGGCGAAGGCGGAUUGCUGGACGACAACUGACGGUGAGGCGC
rnacentral:rRNA from 1 species